CGGGCCAUAGCGCAGUCUGGUAGCGCGUUCGCAUGGGGUGCGAAAGGUCGUGAGUUCGAACCUCACUGGCCCGA
rnacentral:tRNA from 1 species